rnacentral:hammerhead_ribozyme from 1 species
AUCCAUCUGACGAGUCUCACAUAGGUCGAAACGGGCGUCGUACUGGAU